rfam:Loxodonta africana unplaced genomic scaffold scaffold_11, whole genome shotgun sequence.
GCUGUGGUGGUACAAUGGUUAAGUGCUUGGCUGCUAACUAAAAGGUUGGUGGUUCAAAUUCACCCAGUGGUA